GYCYAAGAUUAGCCMUGCAUGUCUAAGUAUAAGCACUUUAUACUGUGAAACUGCGAAUGGCUCAUUAAAUCAGUUAUCGUUUAUUUGAUAGUACCUUACUACAUGGAUACCUGUGGUAAUUCUAGAGCUAAUACAUGCUAAAAACCCCGACUUCAGGAAGGGGUGUAUUUAUUAGAUAAAAAACCAACGCCCUUCGGGGCUCCUUGGUGAAUCAUAAUAACUUAACGAAUCGCAUGGCCUUGCGCCGGCGAUGGUUCAUUCAAAUUUCUGCCCUAUCAACUUUCGAUGGUAGGAUAGUGGCCUACCAUGGUGGCAACGGGUAACGGGGAAUUAGGGUUCGAUUCCGGAGAGGGAGCCUGAGAAACGGCUACCACAUCCAAGGAAGGCAGCAGGCGCGCAAAUUACCCAAUCCCGAUACGGGGAGGUAGUGACAAUAAAUACUGAUACGGGGCUCUUUCGGGUCUCGUAAUUGGAAUGAGAACAAUUUAAAUCCCUUAACGAGGAACAAUUGGAGGGCAAGUCUGGUGCCAGCAGCCGCGGUAAUUCCAGCUCCAAUAGCGUAUAUUAAAGUUGUUGCAGUUAAAAAGCUCGUAGUUGAACCUUGGGUCUGGCUGGCCGGUCCGCCUCACCGCGAGUACUGGUCCGGCUGGACCUUUCCUUCUGGGGAACCUCAUGGCCUUCACUGGCUGUGGGGGGAACCAGGACUUUUACUGUGAAAAAAUUAGAGUGUUCAAAGCAGGCCUUUGCUCGAAUACAUUAGCAUGGAAUAAUAGAAUAGGACGUGCGGUUCUAUUUUGUUGGUUUCUAGGACCGCCGUAAUGAUUAAUAGGGAUAGUCGGGGGCGUCAGUAUUCCGCUGUCAGAGGUGAAAUUCUUGGAUUUGCGGAARACUAACUACUGCGAAAGCAUUCSCCAAGGAUGUUUUCAUUAAUCAGGGAACGAAARKUUAGGGGAUCGAAGAMRAUCAGAUACCGUCSUAGUCUUAACCAUAAACUAUGCCRACUAGGAUCGGAMGGGAUUYUWUGAWGACCCGUUCGGCACUUACSAGAAAUCAAAKUUUUGGUYUGGGGGGRARUWUGYYGCAGGSUDAAAMYUAAGAAAUKAMSGAGGGCACCMMAGGSKUGAGCUGCGBCUAUUKAYYYAMMCGGAMYCACMGGUUCMGACCAAUGGAUDAMGAURAGYCYUCUKWYUUUGRRGUGUGSSUGGCCGGUUYYUG
rnacentral:rRNA from 1 species